UCGUAGAGCUUCGGCUCCUUCGAGGGAGAACCCUUGCCUUUUCGAGCACCUGUUUGUUUCCUCGGCAGGCCCGCCUGCCAACUGGGGACCAUUUUAAACCCUUGCGAUCAACCUGAACAAAAUCGUCUGAACAAAAAAAAUCUAAAUCA
rnacentral:misc_RNA from 1 species